rnacentral:misc_RNA from 1 species
UAAGAUCCAAUGUUUAUUGAAUGAACAUUAUUUAAAUUUAUGUAGGGUCUGAAAUGAUAUUUGUUUUAUAUUGGAUCCAUUAUUUACGAUUUAAAGCCCCCAAACAAAUUUUCCUGUAGUGUUGCAUUUCUUUUGCUCUAUUAAAUUAGCAUCUUAACUUAUACUUUAAAUAUUUUGCUUUGAAGAACUGUGACGACAAAUAAUUUCAUUUCAUUUUUGACACUUCUGUAAUGCAAGAUAUUGCACAAAGCCUCCUGUUGAGCAUUUAUAAUUCUUGAAGGGACUAAUAAUCAUAGUUUCUUUUUGCUUGUUUUAGUUCUUUGUGCACUGCACUUCGAGCAUGGCUGUUUGCUUCUGCCAGUGAAAGAGUUGUCGCUCGUUUGAGAAAGGACUUAUUCAGCCACCUAAUCAACCAGGUGAAGUCCCCUAGUUUUUGAACAUAUAAAACCUCGAGGAUGUGCAAUCCUUUUUAUUCCUGAUCCACUAUAUUAAUUAGUCUUUAUGGAUUUCCAAUCUACUGAAAAACUGUGAAUUUUCUGUUUCAUGCAAAAUUGAAGCAUAAUAAAAUAGCUGGUUAAAGAUAUUAAAGCCUGUGGGAGUCAUUUUAAGAUAUUAGUUUGCAAGUUGUUGUUG